rnacentral:rRNA from 1 species
CAAUAGCGUAUAUUAAAGUUGUUGCGGUUAAAAAGCUCGUAGUUGGAUUUCUGUCGAGGUUGACCGGUCCGUUUUAUCUUCGGAGCGAAUGAGAUCAUGGCUCGACCGAGACAUUUUCUGGAUGUAACUGUCGCACUUCACUGUGUGCUGUGAAAUCCAGGCCUUUACUUUGAGGAAAUUAGAGUGUUUCAAGCAGGCGAAGGCCUUGAAUACAUUAGCAUGGAAUAAUAUGAUAGGACUCCGGUUCUAUUUUGUUGGUUUCUAGAACCGAAGUAAUGAUUAAUAGGGACAGUCGGGGGCAUUCGUACUUAACUGUCAGAGGUGAAAUUCUUGGAUUUGUUAAAGACGAACUACUGCGAAAGCAUUUGCCAAGGAUGUUUUCAUUG